CCUACGGGUGGCAGCAGUGAGGAAUAUUGGUCAAUGGGCGAGAGCCUGAACCAGCCAAGUCGCGUGAAGGAUGACGGCCCUACGGGUUGUAAACUUCUUUUGUCAGGGAGCAAUUGCGUCCACGUGUGGGCUUAGCGAGAGUACCUGAAGAAAAAGCAUCGGCUAACUCCGUCCCAGCAGCCGCGUUAAUACGGAGGAUGCGAGCGUUAUCCGGAUUUUUUGGGUUUAAAGGGUGCGUAGGCGGAAUAUCAAGUCAGCGGUAAAAUUUCGGGGCUCAACCCCGUCGUGCCGUUGAAACUGAUGUUCUUGAGUGGGCGAGAAGUAUGCGGAAUGCGUGGUGUAGCGGUGAAAUGCAUAGAUAUCACGCAGAACUCCGAUUGCGAAGGCAGCAUACCGGCGCCCAACUGACGCUGAAGCACGAAAGCGUGGGUAUCGAACAGGAUUAGAUACCCCAGUAGUC
rnacentral:rRNA from 1 species